UUGUUGGAGAGUUUGAUCCUGGCUCAGGACGAACGCUGGCGGCGUGCGUAACACAUGCAAGUAGAACGGAAAUGUUUUGAAAGAUUUAUUAGGAAUGAAUUUGAUUUAGUUUAGUGGAGGAAGGGUGAGUAAAGAGUGAGUAAGUUGAGUUUAAGAGGGGGAUAA
rnacentral:rRNA from 1 species